AUUGAACGCUGGCGGCAUGCCUUACACAUGCAAGUCGAACGGCAGCACGGGAGCAAUCCUGGUGGCGAGUGGCGAACGGGUGAGUAAUACAUCGGAACGUGCCCAGUAGUGGGGGAUAACCCGGCGAAAGCCGGACUAAUACCGCAUACGACCUACGGGUGAAAGCAGGGGAUCGCAAGACCUUGCGCUAUCGGAGCGGCCGAUGUCAGAUUAGCUAGUUGGUAGGGAAAGCCUACCAAGGCAACGAUCUGUAGCUGGUCUGAGAGGACGACCAGCCACACUGGGACUGAGACACGGCCAGACUCCUACGGGAGGCAGCAGUGGGGAAUUUUGGACAAUGGGCGCAAGCCUGAUCCAGCCAUGCCGCGUGCGGGAAGAAGGCU
rnacentral:rRNA from 1 species